CGGAGUUCAGUCUUCCCAGGCCCACCACGCUUCGCCGUCGGCUUCGCAUGGCACCGCCAGGCAGAACGACGAGGCGAAGCGCGUCCGGCAUAGCCCGAAGGGCGACGCCGGACAGAAAGAGCGCUUCGUCUUCUGGUUACGGGGCCAUAGCUCAGCUGGGAGAGCGCGUGCUUUGCAAGCAUGAGGUCGUCGGUUCGAUCCCGUCUGGCUCCACCAGAUGGUUUGAUCACCGAGAUCUUGACCGUCGUCCGCGAAACAUCACUUCGCAUCCUGCUAGUCUGGAUAGACAGCAAGUUGCGUGUUUUCUGACAUCGUAAAGAGGAGAUCGAUCCGAGUUGGAUCGUGCAACAUAUCGUUGCGCGAGCCUUCAUUAUCUCCGGAUCAUUUCGGCGCUCGCUUCCAGCCGUGAGGUUGGAUGCGGGUUGUAAAUGAUCCUUUUAGCGAAGCUUGACCGCCUCGCUAUCGGAACGAUCUUACGAAGCAAGCUGGUCUUUCUAGUCAAUGUCCGGCUGUACGUAGCAUUCAUCGAGGGUGCGCGCCCGAGAUUUCGGUCUCUUGGCAAUCGUACAGACAACAUUCUGCCGAGUGUGUGGACAUUGAUAAUGAGAGCAAUCAAGUGCCUUAAGGGUGUUCGGUGGAUGCCUUGGCGCUGAGAGGCGAUGAAGGACGUGCUACGCUGCGAUAAGCCGUGGGGAGCUGCGAAGAAGCUUUGAUCCGCGGAUUUCCGAAGG
rnacentral:misc_RNA from 1 species